rnacentral:rRNA from 1 species
AUUGAACGCUGGCGGCAUGCCUAACACAUGCAAGUCGAACAGAAACGGCAUUAACAAUCCCUUCGGGGUGCGUUUUUGGACGUCGAGUGGCGGACGGGUGAGUAAUACAUAGGAAUCUACCCAGUAGCGGGGGACAACUUGGGGAAACUCAAGCUAAUACCGCAUACGCCCUACGGGGGAAAGCGGGGGACCUUCGGGCCUCGCACUAUUGGAUGAGCCUAUGUCUGAUUAGCUUGUUGGUGGGGUAAUGGCUUACCAAGGCAACGAUCAGUAGCUGGUCUGAGAGGACGAUCAGCCACACUGGGACUGAGACACGGCCCAGACUCCUACGGGGAGGCAGCAGUGGGGAAUAUUGCACAAUGGGCGGAAGCCUGAUGCAGCAAUGCCGCGUGUGUGAAGAAGGCCUGCGGGUUGUAAAGCACUUCAGUAGGACGGUAAACACCGUACGGGUUAUACCCGGUACCUUGACGUUACCUACAGAAGAAGCACCGGCUAACUCUGUG